rnacentral:tRNA from 1 species
GGAGAGGUGACCGAGUGGUCGAAGGUGCACGACUGGAAAUCGUGUGUCGGGUAACCGACCGAGGGUUCGAAUCCCUCUCUCUCCGCCA